GAAACAGUGCCUCAUUUCUGUGUGGUUUC
rnacentral:piRNA from 1 species